CUGCCAACUAAUUUGCUGGGCGAUUUUCUUUUGUAUGUAUAUGAGAAAGUUUAAGGGUCAAAAUAUUCUGGAACAAGGGAUGAGUAACGGAGAGGAAGAACGCCGUGAGACACGACCGAUCUAUUGAUUGGUUGAUUUCCGGCCUGUUGCACCGGUGUCACCCAAAAAAGGGCGGGCGUCCGACGUACGCUACACCGACGUUGGAACAGACCGAUCUUUACCAAUGCGACCCCUUCUCCUCCUUUUUCCUUCUGGAUUCUUGGUCCUUUUGUUUCUUUUCUUAGCCUCCCUCUCUGUGCUGGCCGGCCUCGUGGUCGUGGUCAAAGAAAAGGAGUCGAAACUACUCUGAUUUGAUUGUUCCCUCCUUUUUUGCGUCUUUUUUUCCAACGUAUUCUUCAUCGGAUAUCCUCUGUUCAUCAAGAAACCGUAGGAGGAAUCUUGAAUUUAGGCUUUUCUUAAUUUUACGCCUUUUUUUGAUGCGAUAAUUUUACCGUUUUCUGAUCGGAGAUUCUCGAGAUUAGGGUUCUCUGAUCGCCGCUAUUUUAUCGUAGCGAGAACUUUAAGGAGUUUCGAAUCUCUCACCAUUGCUGAAUUCUUGCUUGAUUUCUUGAAUUCGGUUUUCUAUUGUAUGCAUCCGAUUCUUUUCCGUUUCUUACUUCUUUUCGAUCAUGAGCAAGUCCUGAAAACCCAGGCGUGCUUCACCCCACCCACCCAACACAGUUCUUCACUCUCGGCACUCGAUCUUGAGGCGGAUUUUUUUUUUCCUUUUUUAACUUUCUUUUCCUUUUAUCAAGCUUAGGUUUUCUUGAAAGUAUGAUCUCAAGAUGAUUAAACUAGCUUCAGGCUUAAGUUUCUUCUCGAGGAUGCGCAGUUCCUUUUGUGGCCUCAUGAUUCUCCUUGGCUGCAAUUAAGAUAUAUCUGGAUUUCUUGUGCAGCUGCUUCAAGGGAGUGGAACUGGUAACCCACACCAUUCAGCCCGGGGACACACUCUUCUCUCCUUUCAAGGUGGGCAUUGGCGAGGCUAAGAAUCUGAACAGGAUAGGUGACGCUUCUUUCAUCCAUGUUGGAGGGAGUGGUGCGUGGGAGAAACACUGGCGUGAAAAAGAAAAGAAGAAGAAGAGGAAGAAGAAGAGAGGCAGGCUGGCUAGAGAGAGCUUCUCCAAGAAAAGAGAGAGGAAGAGAAAACAUUUGUUUUAAAGAGGUGGAACAAGGUCUUCCUGUAGAGCAUCUCCUUGGGUUGUAGUUGCUGGAGAUCCAGGGCUAAGCAGCACUUUCAUAGAUAGAGCAUGUGGAUUGAAGUGGCCAUGGAUAGUAAUUCUCAAAGGGUCAUUGCAUUCGCAACUUUAAUCUAUCCUUGAGAGGAUCGAAUCAACUCCAAAGAAGGACCAGAUGACAUGGUUUUAGUUGCUGGAAUUGGGUGCAGGAGCAGGUGCGAGUGCGAUUGCAGGAAAGUGGAUACUUUAGAAUCACUUUUAGUAACUUAGCACUUAGGAAGUUGGUGUGGGUCUGAGAUUCUCAGAAGAUUCUGAAGUUGAUGCAUUACCCUGGGAAGGAGAUUGUAGCGGGCAAGAACCUGGCCUUUAACUUUUCUUGAGGAUAUCUCUUAACCAACACAUUCUUCAUGAACCAAAUGAACAUUAAAUAGCGUAUGAAAAAUAAAGAACUGAGAUACUUAUCCCAGAAUUAUAUGAGAAGUCAUUCUCUGGAUCCUCUAAAUCAGGCAGUCAGCUACCUUCUGGUUUUGCUAUGCAACUGUAUAAUUUUCUUUCUACCAUAAAAGGCUUGCCUCUCAUAUACUUACAAGAAAAUAUUCAGAUGUGAUCCUAUCGAGAAAGCACCCAGCUGGUGGAAAUUGUUGAUCUGCAUCUUAUCGACUAUGACAAGGAAUCUCUUCUUCAGGUUUUGCAUAUUUCUUUUCUUUUGCAGUAACUUUCAAGACAUUAUCGAGACAUGCUUGUAUAAUUGACUGAGGCUGAUUCAUAUAUCAGUGAUAAUAGGGAAUUAGACAUACUUGAUCAACAAUUCUAUUUGGCCAUGUAGAUACAAUCACAUAGAUGAAAUUUCUUGCCCGACUUGUAUUACUUUGAUGAAGCAAGCUACCUCGUUCUUGGUGCGACUUUGUGAUCAUGGAAAAGCAUAAUUCUAAUUCCACAGGUUUGGUAGUGAAUCUUUUCUCAUUCCUAUCGAAGCCUUUUUCUGUUACAAGCAGUAAAUAAUAGAAAAAAUGCUCCUGGAAGAUGCCGAAAGGCAUCAUGUUUCUCCAUACAAGUUUUCCUCCACCUCGUAGUUAGUGAGGUAUCAUCUUGUUUACUGCUCUAAGAAAAUGCGAAAGCAAGAUUUUGUGGUCUCUUCUUCUCUUAGCUAAUAUCAUAUUAUCAAUUGCAUUCUUUGUAUGUGGGUGUUGCAGGUUUGUAAUAUGGAAAUAGUUUCUCCACACACAGGGUCAAGGCUGCAUACAUCUGACCCUCAUCAGACCCUGCAGUGGUGGGAGCUUUGUGCACUAGGCUGCCUUUUCAUUCUUUGUUUGUGCUGAUUGGAAAGUUCGAGUUCAAGAUUUAAGGAAGAUUAUGGAGCAGGUGCAUUAUCAUCCACAUCUACCCCUUAUAUUGCACCUUCACCUGAUUCUGGCAACGAAGAGCACUCUGUGAAAUGAGAUACAAAUCUUGCAUUGGUGUGGCAUAACCGCCCUUCAAACUGGUUUUAUGUUUCAUCUCUGAUGUGUACCAAAUAAGGGAUGUACUCUUGAAUAUUAAUAUAAAGUCAGUUCUUUCUGGUAGUAAUAUAAUCUGUAUCCUCACUGCUUCCAGCUUUUAAUGCCGUAUAGUUCAU